UACGUAGGGGGCAAGCGUUGUCCGGAAUCAUUGGGCGUAAAGAGCGUGUAGGCGGCUCGGUAAGUCCGCUGUGAAAGUCCAGGGCUCAACCCUGGAAUGCCGGUGGAAACUGUCGAGCUAGAGUCCGGAAGAGGCGAGUGGAAUUCCUGGUGUAGCGGUGAAAUGCGCAGAUAUCAGGAGGAACACCAAUGGCGAAGGCAGCUCGCUGGGACGGUACUGACGCUGAGACACGAAAGCGUGGGGAGCAAACAGG
rnacentral:rRNA from 1 species